rnacentral:rRNA from 1 species
CGGGUGAGUAAUGCGUGACCAACCUGCCCCAUGCUCCAGAAUAGCUCUUGGAAACGGGUGGUAAUGCUGGAUGCUCCAACUUGACGCAUGUCUUGUUGGGAAAGUGUUUAGUGGCAUGGGAUGGGGUCGCGUCCUAUCAGCUUGUAGGCGGGGUAAUGGCCCACCUAGGCUUCGACGGGUAGCCGGCCUGAGAGGGCGGACGGCCACAUUUGGACUGAGAUACGGCCCAGACUCCUACGGGAGGCAGCAGUC